rnacentral:lncRNA from 1 species
UCCGGUCCCGCCCCCUCCCGCUGAUCGGAUAGCCCUGGCCACGCCCCCGGAGCGCCAGCCCGCAGCCAAUGAGCUUCUAGGCCCGGCCUGUGAGUCGCGUGGGCCAAUCGCAGCUGCUGAGAACGCCUUGAAUCUCCGGGCAAGUUAAAUUUAUCUCCGAGGCUCUGAACUGCAAGGAGAUGGCGGGUUAGUUAGGUAGUGAUGUAGGCGGGAGUACAGUUUGCGCCAGUCCGCCAAUAAGAGGAAGAGGGUGUGUCAUAUGCAAAUAACAUUGACCGCCCCUCGGCCCCCUGCAAGCCACGCCCCCUUUCCGAGUUCCCUGCAGAGAUGGUGAGGAGAGAUACAUAGCUAGAAAGCUAGAGCUCCCUAGAGGGUCUAAGACUGGGCUAAACACUUCCUGAUAUCCUGAAAAAGGGAAUGUAGGGUACAGACUGAAACAUUCCUUCCAUCGAAACAUUGAUUCAGCCUCAGGCAAAACCUAAGCUUAGCUCUACAGAAGACUGCAGGAUUGUAGGACUGCAUCCAGGGAUCUCCAAGAACUUUACGUUAGGCUUGUUGUGCAAAAGACCAUUUACCUGAAGCUUGACAUUCGUAUGGAGAUCAAAGAGGCCAAAGGGAAUGUGGCAACAGUGGAAGGGCAAGGAGUCAUGGUAGGUACAUUGAGUGUAUUUUCUUUGGUGCUCAGUAUCACAAUGAGGCAAAGAGCCCAGGUUUUAGAAUCAGACAUGAAUUUAAGUAUUAACUUGCCCUUUUCCAGGUAUAUGUCCUUGAGCAAGUUACUAAGUGUGUCUAUACUUCAGUUCCCUCAUCUGUAAAAUGGAGUAAUAAUGUAUCUGAAAGGGUGAUUGUAAAGAUGGAAUGAGAUAAUGCAUUGUAAUAUUCAACAAGAUAACUAGAACACUGUAAGCACUCAGUAAAUGUUUGCUGUAAGUUGCCAUAAUAUAAAGGAUGUUAUGCUUUCUGCAUAUUGUGUGACUUUCAUCUGUUUGCUUUUCUGUGUCUCAAUUUUCAUCAUCUGAAAAAUGAGGAUAGUAAGAUUAGUCUUGUUGCUUUGAAGAUUAGAUGAGUUCUGUGUAAAACAUUUAAAUCAACCAGUGGCUUAUUAGAAAUGUAUUAGAAGUCCUAUAAUUAUAUCCUGUUGUCAGAAGAUUUUUUUUAUAUUUGCCUCUUUUUUUAAAUAAUGAAGAUCUUUGAUUUUUGUGGUAUUUGUUCUCAGAAGUAAUAUAUAGCAAAAUAGAAAGAGCUUUGGGGGCCCGGGAUUUAGCUCAGUGGUGCUGCACCUGCCUUGC